UACGUAGGGUGCAAGCGUUGUCCGGAAUUAUUGGGCGUAAAGAGCUCGUAGGCGGUUCGUCGCGUCGGCUGUGAAAUCCCGAGGCUCAACCUCGGGUCUGCAGUCGAUACGGGCGGACUGGAGUUCGGUAGGGGAGACUGGAAUUCCUGGUGUAGCGGUGAAAUGCGCAGAUAUCAGGAGGAACACCGGUGGCGAAGGCGGGUCUCUGGGCCGAUAUUGACGCUGAGGAGCGAAAGCGUGGGGGAGCGAACAGG
rnacentral:rRNA from 1 species